GAACGUGGCUACUGUGCCAGCUGGUGGAUCGCUCGGCUUGAGAGCUGAAGAAGGACGUGCCAAGCUGCGAAAAGCCUGUGGGACCCGCACGGAGGGGAAGAACACAGGAUUUCCGAAUGGGAAUCCCCACCGCAAUUGCUUCGCGCAAUGGGGAACGCCGAGAACUGAAACAUCUCAGUAUCGGCAGGAAAAGAAAACGUAACGUGAUGUCGUUAGUAAGGGCGACUGAACGCGAUCCAGUCCAAACCGAAGCCUUCGGGCAAUGUGGUGUUCGGACUGACGAUCACUCCGCGACCGUCUGCAGGAAGUCUCUUGGAACAGAGCACGACACAGGGUGACAGUCCCGUAUUGCAGACCAGUAUCGGACGAGUCAGCUCCAGAGUAGCGGGGAUUGGAAAUUCCUCGUGAAUCUCCCAGGCAUCGACUGGGAAGACUAAACACUCCUCAAGACCGAUAGCGAACAAGUAGCGUGAGCGAACGCUGAAAAGCACCCCACGAAGGGAGGUGCAAUAGGGCGUGAAAUCAGUUGGCGAUAGAGCGACGGGGCACACAAGGUCCCG
rnacentral:ncRNA from 1 species